GUGGGCGUCUUCUAAUGGUUAGGAAAUCUCGUUGUGGUGUAAGCAGGUAAGCCCCGUGAAAAUGCCGGUUCGAUUCCGGCCGCCCACA